rnacentral:misc_RNA from 1 species
GAUGAAGAACGUAGCGAAAUGCGAUAAGUAAUGUGAAUUGCAGAAUUCAGUGAAUCAUCGAAUCUUUGAACGCACAUUGCGCCCGCCAGUAUUCUGGCGGGCAUGCCUGUUCGAGCGUCAUUUCAACCAUCAAGCCCUGCUUGCGUUGGGGUCCUGCGGCUGCCCGCAGGCCCUGAAAACCAGUGGCGGGCUCGCUAGUCACACCGGGCGCAGUAAUACAUCUCGCUUUGGGCGUGCGGCGGGUUCUUGCCGUUAAACACCCCCUUUUUACCAAGGUUGACCUCGGAUCAGGUAGGAAUACCCGCUGAACUUAAGCAUAUCAAUAAGCGGAGGA